rnacentral:lncRNA from 1 species
GAGAAGGAGGCUCCGGUCAUCCUCGUUGGCUCAUCCUUAGUCCCCACCACCAUCGAUUGCUCGGUCCUCCUUCGCCGCCGUCGACUUGGUCACCAAGGGGAAGAUGGGUCUUGAACUCAAGAAGUUGAAGGGACGAUGGAUGAACAGUAAAUUUCUAAGGGUUAAACGGUUUGUUGGCUCAAUCGGAUUACGCUGGGUCUAGCGGUUCGUGGUUCAAUCGGCCGAUUCAUACAGGUUUGGCUGGGUUUUAAACAUAAAUGGUUCAAUUAGGUAAUCUAUUCGGUCCCAUGGCCAGAUCACCGGGUUUCUGAUCUGACUAGCUAGACCGGGUCGGAUUUAAUAACUAUGCUAAGAAGAGAACAACAAAAGAAAAGAGAAUAAGAAAACAAUAAGUGCCGGGGGAGAAAGAGGAAUACAAAGAAGAGAAGAAUUACCUCUUACAAAGCAGCAUUGGCAAAUUGAUGGCCAUAGAUGGAGCACAAAUGAGGGAGAGUUUGCAUUACAAAUUACGUUAGGGUCAGUGAAGGAGUAAUAGAGCUGUUCUAUUGUUAUUUAGAUGUCAAAUAUCAUGAAUGACCAGCCAUGUAUGGAUUUAAGCAGGAGGUCUAUGUUUUUAUACAAACUUAGGCACAUAUACGAUUCCAGUACUCUCGUAUAAGAUAUUUGACUAACAAUGGACACUUCCCAGGUCCAU